AUUGUAGUCUAGUUGGUUAGGAUACUCGGCUCUCACCCGAGAGACCCGAGUUCAAGUUUCGGCAAU
rfam:Gossypium raimondii Chr13_contig_744, whole genome shotgun sequence.